rnacentral:misc_RNA from 1 species
GAAAUGCGAUAAGUAAUGUGAAUUGCAGAAUUCAGUGAAUCAUCGAAUCUUUGAACGCACAUUGCGCCCGUCAGCAUUCUGGCGGGCAUGCCUGUUCGAGCGUCAUUUCAACCCUCAGGACCCCCCUUUCGCGGGGGGGGACCUGGCGUUGGGGAUCGGCCCGCCCCCCGCGGCGGCGCCGUCCCCGAAAUCUAGUGGCGGUCUCGCUGCAGCCUCCCCUGCGUAGUAGUUACAACCUCGCAUCGGAGCGCGGCGCGGCCACGCCGUAAAACCCCCGACUUUCUGAACGUUGACCUCGGAUCAGGUAGGAAUACCCGCUGAACUUAAGC